AAUGUUAUUCUGUAGCUGGUUGAAGUCGGGCCAAAUAGUCUGUGUUGUCAUGCAUUUGGUCCCCUUCAACCAGCUGUAGUGAGCAUUAUGG
rnacentral:pre_miRNA from 1 species